CACGUAGGCGGUAGGAUGUGUGUGAUGUGAAAGCCCCGGGCUCAACCUGGGAAGUGCAUCGCAAACUAUCUAACUAGAGUAGAUGAGAGGGUGGCGGAAUUUCCGGUGUAGCGGUGAAAUGCGUAGAGAUCGGAAGGAACGUCAAUGGCGAAGGCAGCCACCUGGCAUCAUACUGACGCUGAGGUGCGAAAGCGUGGGAGCGAACA
rnacentral:rRNA from 1 species